rnacentral:rRNA from 1 species
AGAGUUUGAUCCUGGCUCAGGAUGAACGCUAGCUACAGGCUUAACACAUGCAAGUCGAGGGGAAACGACAUCGAAAGCUUGCUUUUGAUGGGCGUCGACCGGCGCACGGGUGAGUAACGCGUAUCCAACCUGCCCACCACUUGGGGAUAACCUUGCGAAAGUAAGACUAAUACCCAAUGACGUCUCUAGAAGACAUCUGAAGGAGAUUAAAGAUUUAUCGGUGAUGGAUGGGGAUGCGUCUGAUUAGCUUGUUGGCGGGUAACGGCCACCAAGGCGACGAUCAGUAGGGGUUCUGAGAGGAAGGUCCCCCANAUUGGAACCUGAGACACGGUCCAAACUCCUACGGGAAGCCA